rnacentral:lncRNA from 1 species
CAGCCUCCGAGGCUGCAGCGCCUGAGCUCCCGGCAAAACACGGGCAUGACUUUUGUUCCCAGGACCAGGGGGCCUUGCCAGGAGAGGCUCAGAACCCGCAGACCGCAGAAGGGCCACUUGCCGCCACGUUUGCAAUGCCUCACCCCACUUCUGCAGGUCCCCCCUCACAGCGCACCCUCUGCACCUGAAGAACUCUCCUCUCCCAAUCCACCUGCCUACAGGCGCAGCUUGGCCAACUUUAAGGGCAUAAGAAACAAACCGAGUUCAGAUGACGUCUUUCAAAACCCCAAGCCUAUAGGUACUUGUCACGCUGGCUGCCUCCUUCCUCGAAGCCGGUGGCUCUGUGGUUGUCACCCUACCCAGGGAGGGGUGCGAGAGUCAGAGGGGUCCCUGCCACAAUUGCGUACAAACC